rfam:Gossypium arboreum cultivar AKA8401 contig_9007_9, whole genome shotgun sequence.
AACCCAUGGUGAGGGCACAUUCUCAGUAAGUCCUUAUAUCUCUCUCAUGCAUCAUGUAAGGUUGCUAAGUCCAUCUAUAGAAAGAAGGAGAUAUCAUUCCUCAAUUU